GUGCUUUUGCAGCAUAUAGACAAAAACUGGAGCAGUAUGGAGAAGAUUAGCAUGGUAGCUGCACAAAAAUAAUAUUCAGAUCCAGGAAGCAUUGCGUUUUGUA